GAUGAACGCUGGCGGCGUGCCUAAUACAUGCAAGUCGAGCGAACGGACGAGAAGCUUGCUUUUCUGAUGUUAGCGGCGGACGGGUGAGUAACACGUGGAUAACCUACCUAUAAGACUGGGAUAACUUCGGGAAACCGGAGCUAAUACCGGAUAAUAUUUUGAACCGCAUGGUUCAAAAGUGAAAGACGGUCUUGCUGUCACUUAUAGAUGGAUCCGCGCUGCAUUAGCUAGUUGGUAAGGUAACAGCUUACCAAGGCAACGAUGCAUAGCCGACCUGAGAGGGUGAUCGGCCACACUGGAACUGAGACACGGUCCAGACUCCUACGGGAGGCAGCAGUAGGGAAUCUUCCGCAAUGGGCGAAAGCCUGACGGAGCAACGCCGCGUGAGUGAUGAAGGUCUUCGGAUCGUAAAACUCUGUUAUUAGCGAAGAACAUAUGUGUAAGUAACUGUGCACAUCUUGACGGUACCUAAUCAGAAAGCCACGGCUAACUACGUG
rnacentral:rRNA from 1 species